CUGAUUUUGAAGAAGCAAAUGGACAAGCCAAAUCCACACCAUAACCAGCUGGGUUCGGCCCUGCCUUAUGUUUAGGAUCGAAUGAAAGCCCGUCCUUCAAAGACCCGACCAGCCUACUUCCACUCUUAAACAUCAAUCUUGUGUCCAUUUCCACAUGGGUGACCUUGUUUAAUGGCGUUAUCUCAUCAUUUUGAUCUUUGAAGCUAACUUUCAAUUCCUAAGUGAAAGCACCAUCUUACCACCAUAGCUUAGGUAGAGAAAUUGGAUGUCUGAUUAGUGAAAAUGGUUAAUUUCUCUUUGUGCAGGUUAGUUCUAACGUACUUGUAGAGAAAGAAUAAUGUUUACAGCAUCAUAUAUUCGCUCUGCCAGCAAUGGUUCCCCAACGAUUUUUGGUGAAAUUUGUGACAACAAUAACACAGCCUAAAAGAAAAAGGAGACGAAGCAAAAUUAAAGAAAUGAGUAUAGAAGAAUGAAAUACUUAUUGCAUUAUCUUUGUAUUUUGAUUGUGAGCCCAGGUAGAGUUACCUUUAGUCCUUCUGUUGUGCAGUCCGACACUUGACACCCUUGAUCUGCAACAGUGAAAGUCCAUGCACCUUUUGAAAUGUGGCGAUUCCAGUGACUCAAGUUGCCUGGUAGGCUACUGAACAGAAGAGCUCAAAUAAGCCUAUCCAAAUAGCUGGAUGAGGCUAUGAUAAUGAUGAUUGGUUGAUAAUCAAACGCAUGAACUCCCAUGUUUUUGACUCAUAGAACCUGGUUGUGAGGGAACAAUGCUAUACCCCCAGAUUUCAAUUUGGACCUUCUCCAAACUCUUUAUUAUCAAAAUUUCGUAGCGCUUUCUCUCUUAGCAUUGAAAAUGGCCAAUGCUUUAUAAGAGAUUCACCAACCUUAUAAAGACAUCCCAUUAGAAUAUCUUGUAUUAGGGGAUGUGGGUAGAAGAGAUCUUCCUGUAAUAACAAGAUCGAAGAAACUUCAUAUGUACAUACAUUUAGAUUACAACUAAAAAACAGAUGGAAAUAGAUGUAGAGCUGACCUUUGCACACAAAUUACGUGCUCGACACCAAUCUAUUUCAUGAUACGGUUGAGUGUAGAGCUCUUCUCUCAGUGAUGCGACUGUCUUUGUGAUUGGCCCCACAAACUUCUUUCCAUAUAAGUAUGACAUGGGCAAGUACACCAUGCGACAAUGGCACCAAAGCUUACCUACAUGGCUUAAAAACAAGAUGUGUGAAAGGGAAUUCUAAGUUACAUUGGAUGAUUGUUACGUGUUAGAGAGGAGAAAAUAAGCAUGCAUUGAUCCCACGUGCUACUUUUAUAAUUCAACAUAAAAAUGUAAAAAAAUCACAUGAAGGGGUCAUUCAACAAUAACCUGGAUAAAAUGGUAGAAAGGAAGGAAGAAGCCAAAACUCUGGGGGAAUUGGAUUAUUGCCUGACCAUUCAAAAACUCCAAGUACCUGACACAAGAACUGGAGAUAAGUUAUAUUCAAUUGAAAUGUAUUGACAGUUACCAUUUUCUACCUCUUUGAAGCAUAUCAGAAAGUUGAUGUUCAAAUAGGCAAAAUGUGGACAACUUUUCUGUACUUCAUAUUAGAAAUUUCUUUAUUACAGGAGUCUAGUCUGAUUAAAUUGAUAUGUGUUGGCUGGUUCACUGCUAUUUUAUUCAUCCAACUACUCAAAGCAUUACCUAUUAUAUGUGUGGGUUAUCUAUAUUUAGUGGCUUUUCAUCUUUUAAAAAAACAUUAGUGGCUUUUCUGGCAGAGCUUUGUUAAGCCCACAAGCGUGCAAUAAAGUUCAUGUACACACACAUAUGCUAACAUGGCAUGAUAGGGUCUGAGACCCAAUCCAUCCAUUAGAAUGGCACCACCAAAUUGAUGUCCAUGCCCAAGAAUCAGGUUGAUCUCCUAAUCAAGUGGGCCAUAGUUAGCAAAACAAAUGGACGGCUCUGAAAAACUUUUCUGAAGUUUGCUAACCCAUCUACCCAUUUCCAAUGUUAGGGCCCACAUGCUGAGUGGAUCAUAUUUAUUUUUGAGAAAGCAUGUACAAGGUUGGACCAACCUAAUGGAUGGAUUGGAUCUCACACCUGUGUGCCAUGUUGGCGGAUGUGUGGCAAGUGCACGAGCUUUAUUGCACAGGUGUGUGCUUAGCCAGGCUGUCUGGUAAUUGCCCCUCUAUGAACCUAUUUUUCUUGCUGGCCUUUUGGAGUGUGCCUUCACUAGUUAGGCUUGGGUAGCUGAUUAUUGAACUUCUGCCAAUCUACCAUAUAAAAAGCCAACUCCAAAUUGCUGGGAGAAAGGCUAAGAUGAUGAUGGAUAACACAAGGAUA